AAAAUGUUGAUGUGGAAACCCAAGGCCUCUUUCUUAAGAUAAGGUGGCUCGAGCAUGUCCCCACUUCUGGCAGCAGACCUAAAUUGUUGGCUACUCUCUUCAAGGUGUGAGUAAAUUUCUUAAAAGCUCUCUUAUCUUUGCACUCAUGAAGGCAGCUGGGAAAGACAAGGAAUGGACGAUGAGAGAAGAAUGGGAGAAAAUGAGAAGAAUUCAAAUUCCCAGGAGGAGUAUGUGACUGGCUUAGCUUGGGUCAUUUGCCUGCUCAUCAGACUGUGUCCAGAGGUAACUCCUCAAAGGGAAAGAAUAUUCAGUAACCAAAGGAAAUGGAACGAAUGCAAGGCAGCCCACACAACAAAUGUGCACGCCCCAUCUUUCACAGCAGAUGCCAAUUUUGAGGUAAAAAAGAAAAAUAAAGCCAAUUUCUACCUCAUGAAGAUCGCCAUUUACCAAGUAUGAAGGAGAGCAGAUUGGAAAUUGUAAGUUUUUGAAAGUAUGACAGACCCCUGCAGAGUCAGAGAAUAUAGCAACUGCUUUUAUAAUCAUCACUAUGUAUUCUUUUUCUUAUCGUUGUUCUUCAGAGAUAAUAUAUAGUGUUGCCACUUAUCAGUGAUUGCACUGCCCAUGAGGCUUGUCUCUCCAUGGGUAUCUGAGCGCUGUCUUGUCGCCUUGAUAUUUUGAGAGAGAAACACAAGAGACCACAGCUUUUCCCCUCCGUCAAAUGGAAGGAGUAGGGAUCAUAGAUAUUUUGCACUGUAAACAGAUUGAGAAGAUACAGUGCAUUAGGACUCUGAGCCGUGAGAGUCAGAAAUCCAAGUGAAAACAGCUUAAAGGAAAAUAGUGACUGUGAAGUCCAAGAACUUCAGGUGUGUUUAGAUCCAGGAGUUCACAGAACAUUCUUAAAAAUUUGAUUUUUUUUUUCCUAUCACUUGGUUUUGUUGUCUCUGUGUUCGUUUCAUUCUUAGGCUCUUAUCAGGUGGUAAUGAAUAUGGCUCCAGCUGCUCAGAAGGAAAGAAUCACAGAAAGAGAGAGUGAGCCUCUUUUUGUUAGUGCCCAGAGCAAUUUCAGAAAAAGGACUCUCAUUGUCCUUACCUGGGUCACAGGCCACUGCUGUUUCUGGGGGAAGGGGGUGCUUUGUUAGGCUAGCCUGUGUCACAUGCACACCGCUGUGGUGGGAAAGUGGGAGUUACGUGAUUGACAGGCCCACCACACAGGAGUAGCACCAUUCCCGAAUGAAAAAAUACUGAGGUGACAAAACGUGUCCAUUCCAUAUAAUCUUAGCAAAACAAACAAACAAACAGACAAACACUACCCCCACAUUAAAUGGCUUAAAACCACAAAUCUUUAUUAUUUCUCCUGAUUUUGUGGGUCAGUUAGGAGAUUCCUUAGGUUUGGACUGGCUCUGCUGAUGUCUGUAGAGAGCUGGUGUCUCAGCUGGGCUGGAUGGCCUGAGACGGUCUCAUUCACAUACCUGGCAGUUGUCAGGCUGGUUGUAUCGGGGGGUGUCAGC